GACGGAGGAUGCAAGUGUUAUCCGGAAUGAUUGGGCGUAAAGCGUCCGCAGGUGGCAGUUCAAGUCUGCUGUCAAAGACCGGGGCUUAACUUCGGAAAGGCAGUGGAAACUGAACAGCUAGAGUAUGGUAGGGGCAGAGGGAAUUCCUGGUGUAGCGGUGAAAUGCGUAGAUAUCAGGAAGAACAUCGGUGGCGAAGGCGCUCUGCUGGACCAUAACUGACACUCAGGGACGAAAGCUAGGGGAGCGAAUGGG
rnacentral:rRNA from 1 species